rnacentral:lncRNA from 1 species
CGGGGAGGAGGAAGGGGCGGGACCUCCGCCUCCCGCUCUCAGCGCAGCGGCAGGUGGAGAAAAUGGCCAGUUCCAGUUCCAGUUCCAUUUCCAGUUCCAGGGCGGUCUGGGUCGCGCUCAAGAGACUCGACCGAGACGAUGAAAGCGUAAUUGCACUGAAGCAGGUGAGCAUACCCCACGAAGCAGAAGUGGAUAAAGUUAAAAAGGUUCUGACUCAGUCUUUUGGGCUGGUUUCCCGUGUUACUCUGAAGAUAAGAAACAGCCAAGGCUCCUUAAUACCUUUAAACAGCCAAAUACCCGACAACACCAAACAAAGGCCUCAUGUUCUAGAAGUUGCAAAGACCUUUCAGCACGUUACUCCGCAGCCUCGAAUCUUUGCUAUGACUGUAAUAAACAGAAGCUUGAAGUCAAGACUUCAGAGUGUUGUGAAGCGGAUUGAAAGACUUGAGGAACUUCCACAGAUUCAAUUAAAACAACAUGAAAAGAUGAGCAAGGACAUUGAAUUACUAAACCAAAAGUUAAUAUUUCUCCAUAAAAGAAUGAAGAUUGCAGAAUCCCACUGCUGGAAAGGCACAAUUUCACAGCCUCCUCUUUGGUAGACAAAUGAUUUCCAAACUUGUCUGAUUUGCAACUUCUAAACUAGCUAAAGUCUUGAUUUACAACCUUUGGAAAUUGAAAAGCAUUCCAUGGGGUUUGCAACAGAUUCAUUUUUUGAACCCAUUACUUAAUUGAUGGAAACAUAAAAGCAGAUUGUAAUUUGCUCAGGAUAAGGUCAUCUGCCAAUGCCAUAAAUGUAAGUGAAAUAAUCUGAAUAGCGAAGUGAAUAAAAUGUAUUUUUCCAAUACA